rnacentral:lncRNA from 1 species
GUGAAAAUACAGAUCUUGUGCCCCAUCCAUCAAGAAGCCCUCUUUGGUGAAUAAAGAAGUUGGAGUGGCUUCAAACCAGCAGGCAUCAUGUGAGCAAUUUACCUCAUUUCCAAAUGCCAACAAUGAGAUGUUGUGCUGGAAUGGACCAUGACUACCUGCCACUUAUGAUUCUUCCACUACCCAGGCCCAAGGACCAUGACAUGUGGAUGUAAAUGAGGACCAGAGACUGGCAACUGGACAGCCCUAUCUUCAUCUCCUCCUGACGUGGAUGGACUGGGCUCCAUGGUUUUCCUAAGCCGCCUUUCUCCUCUAAGUCUGCGCCAGGUCCUUUAGGACAGGAGGUUGCAGGACCCUUCUAAGGUCUCCACCCGAACCAGCUGUGGAGGUGGAUUUGAGGGCGGGAGCUUUUCCUUUCGCGGACCUGCAGUUCAGCUGCUCUGACCACGUCCUCACAGCAACUGAACUGAACCUCACAGCAACUGAACUGAAUGGCUGCACGUCUCCUGUGAGCCUAGUCCUGCAUGAUUGCCUGAAUAAACAUAUGAAAAAAUGUUCAACAUCACUGGUCAAGCAAGAGAUGCAAAUGAAAACAAUGCUGAGAUUCCACCUCACUCCAGAAAGAAUGGCUGCUAUCAUGAAAUCAACCAAC